GGAAGAAUCACUGCAGUUUUGCUACUAACAACAGGUUUAGAAGAAUGGAAUGUUUAUAGAAUAAACAAUUGAUCGAAGAAAUCAUGACACUACUUGUAAAAACACGGAAAAGAAAAAGCGAAUGCGCCGUGCCGACGACAACGAUGAAUAUAAAGAAUCAAGUAGAUGUCAACAAUUUAUCAGAAAUUAGUUUCCAAAGCAUGAAGAAAACAGGAUUGGAAAAGGACACUGAAGGAUCUGAAAAAGUAAUUUGAGCUUCAUGAAAAGAAUGGAUUGAUGAAAGUUUGCUGUGUGUUUUGUCAGGAGGAGGUUGGUGUUGUGUUUUUGUGUCUCUGUUUGAAGAAAAGAUCAAUUGGUUUUUUGUGAGAAUGAAACAGUUCAUUAACUGCAAUUUAUCAUAAAUUAUACAAAUAGUUUCAUAUA